GUGAAGCUGCUUUGACACAAUCUACAUUGUAAAAGCGCUAUACAAAUAAAGCUGAAUUGAAUUGAAUUAAGUGACAUCAUCGUGAAAAGGGUUUAUUACUGCAAUUACUAUACACACAAACUUUAGAAGUCAAUAAUUUACUUUAUAUAAAAACUGUUUUGUCUAACUUGUGGAUGCAUUACAUGAAUGCAUUUUUAGUGCCGUUGUCAAAAUACAGAUACAGAUCAACAACAUUUUUUAUGUACGUAAAGAUAAUAAUCAUAAAACAAUAUAUAUGCCUCAUAUUACCAUUCAUUGUUUAUUUAUCCUUCUCAUUAAAUACAAUGCUUACUCUCGAAAUAGCCUCACCUUCAAAGAUCCCUUGAAUGCUGAAGCAGACCGCAUUCAACUCAUUGCUUACAAAUGCCAGGAUCCUUCAGUGAACCCUGUAGAAACAGCUCAACAAAUGUGCAGACUGGGAAAUGAUAUCAUGACUAUAAUGUCAUGAUGGAAUAACCACAAUAAGGCAUUACAACAGAGUGUUGCGGGACUAAGGUCUCAACUAAAGAAUACACAAAAACUUCUCACAGAAGCUUUGGCUUUAGCAGAUGUUCUUGCUGCAGCCAAGGACUUUUGUAAUGAUGGUAUAUUUCCUUUUCUCUACAUUUAUUCUAUACAAUGCUAAUUAAACCUUCUUUUCCUUAUAGUACAACACAAUGUGUCCACGCAAACUGUGGCUCCAACCUAUCUUAUGUUAUCCAGCACGACAGAAGAACAAGAUAACACACCAUCUCCUGCUUAUGAAGAUGUGCAAGACAUUUAAGUUUAAUUCCUUUUUACUGUGACAACUUUUAUUUUUGUAAUGUUCUAAUCAACCUUUCAGUAUA